AAUGGCUCAUUAAAUCAGUUAUCGUUUAUUUGAUAGUACCUACCAACUACUUGGAUAACCGUGGUAAUUCUAGAGCUAAUACAUGCUAAAAACCCCAACUUCGGGAGGGGUGUAUUUAUUAGAUAAAAAACCAAUGCCCCUCGGGGCUUCUUGGUGAUUCAUGAUAACUUAACGGAUCGCAUGGCCUUGCGCCGGCGACGGUUCAUUCAAAUUUCUGCCCUAUCAACUUUCGAUGGUAAGGUAUUGGCUUACCAUGGUUUCAACGGGUAACGGGGAAUUAGGGUUCGAUUCCGGAGAGGGAGCCUGAGAAACGGCUACCACAUCCAAGGAAGGCAGCAGGCGCGCAAAUUACCCAAUCCCGACACGGGGAGGUAGUGACAAUAAAUACUGAUACAGGGCUCUUUUGGGUCUUGUAAUCGGAAUGAGUACAAUUUAAACCCCUUAACGAGGAACAAUUGGAGGGCAAGUCUGGUGCCAGCAGCCGCGGUAAUUCCAGCUCCAAUAGCGUAUAUUAAAGUUGUUGCAGUUAAAAAGCUCGUAGUUGAACCUUGGGCCUGGCUGGCCGGUCCGCCUCACCGCGUGUACUGGUCCGGCCGGGCCUUUCCUUCUGGAGAACCGCAUGCCCUUCACUGGGUGUGUCGGGGAACCAGGACUUUUACUUUGAAAAAAUUAGAGUGUUCAAAGCAGGCCUUUGCUCGAAUACGUUAGCAUGGAAUAAUAGAAUAGGACGUGCGGUCCUAUUUUGUUGGUUUCUAGGACCGCCGUAAUGAUUAAUAGGGAUAGUCGGGGGCAUCAGUAUUCAAUUGUCAGAGGUGAAAUUCUUGGAUUUAUUGAAGACUAACUACUGCGAAAGCAUUUGCCAAGGAUGUUUUCAUUAAUCAGUGAACGAAAGUUAGGGGAUCGAAGACGAUCAGAUACCGUCGUAGUCUUAACCGUAAACUAUGCCGACUAGGGAUCGGGCGAUGUUUCUAUCUUGACUCGCUCGGCACCU
rnacentral:rRNA from 1 species